AGAAAGGCAAAAGUUUUUUGUUUGCAUUUGAAAUGCAAUCACUUUUAAGGAAAAGUGAGA
ensembl:ncRNA F10E9.13 ncRNA